UGGGGCGUCGACAAACGGCAAGUCAGGAGAUUUUGGAUCUCCCAUUUGGAGGUUCGAAUCCUCCCGCCCCAGCCA
rnacentral:tRNA from 2 species